rnacentral:rRNA from 1 species
UACGGAGGGUGCAAGCGUUAUCCGGAUUUACUGGGUUUAAAGGGUGCGCAGGCGGAUAUGUAAGUCAGUGGUGAAAUCUCCGGGCUUAACCCGGAAACUGCCGUUGAUACUAUAUAUCUUGAAUGCUGUGGAGGUAAGCAGAAUAUGUCAUGUAGCGGUGAAAUGCUUAGAGAUGACAUAGAAUACCUAGUGCGAAGGCAGCUUACUACGCAGAUAUUGACGCUCAUGCACGAAAGCGUGGGGAUCAAACAGG